UGGAAUAAAAGAAGAUUCCUUUGGAGUGCUC
rnacentral:piRNA from 1 species